GACGUAGGGUGCGAGCGUUGUCCGGAUUUAUUGGGCGUAAAGAGCUCGUAGGCGGCUCUUCAAGUCCUGCGUGAAAUCUCGAGGCUCAACCUCGAGCGGUCGUGGGAAACUGGAGGGCUAGAGUGCGGGAGAGGGAAGUGGAAUUCCAGAUGUAGCGGUGAAAUGCGCAGAUAUCUGGAAGAACACCCGUGGCGAAGGCGGCUUCCUGGAACGACACUGACGCUGAGACGCGAAAGCGUGGGGAGCAAACAGG
rnacentral:rRNA from 1 species